UUCUGACUUCAAUGACUAAGUAAAACUAUCAUUGUGUACAAUCAAAUGUUAGAUACUGCAGAAAUAAACAAAAUGUAUUGUUAACCUUCGCGUUACGUUAAGGAUGCGCAGUUUAUUUAUGAAGUGCAACAAGAACCUACACGCGGAUGACAUCAAAGUACUGCGAGAGCGACUCGAAAGAUCAUGGACAGCAUUCUGAUUUCAAAUCACUCUCGCGGUAUUUUAACGUCAUCUUUUUCUAGUUCCUGCAACUCAGCAUUACGUCGAACACCUUGUCAAAAAUGAUUGAGAUGGCCAAUCAAAUCAAAAAAGGCGAGUGCCACUGGCCAAUCACAUAACAGAAGACGAGCUUUCCUGUUAACGGAAGCCGAGCGGCGGCCAAUCAAAUUAACCAAUAGGCGGGGUUACCGUCGGAGUAGCAGUUACACCGUGUCAAUCAAUCAUAACGGACACAGAGAUUUCAAAGGCAGCAGGAUGAAAGAUAUGUGUCUGUGUUCAUCAAGACAUGAAGACUAUGGAGUGGGACAAGAGAAGGAUGAUGGGGUGUAUAUUCAAAUAGACACAUUAAGUCACAUUGUGAUUUCAGUGAAAGCUGAUAAAUACAGAGGGCUGGACAGUGGUUUCAUUCAUUAGGUAAAGAGGUGGGACAAGGAUGCUGACAGGACAGGAGGAGGUGACAUUCAGACAUUCAGCGCAGACAUUUUCAUCCAAAGCAACUUGAGGAAGAAAACAGAAGCAGUUCAUCCUAAAAGUGGGCUGCUGUAAUGUUUACAUCUAUGGAAAGAUGAGCUGAGAAGAAAAGAGAGGCUGGAAAGCAUUACUUCUUGUUGAGGACAAUCCUGAAUAGGAACACUUUCUCAUACACAUAGAUUAUUAUUAGUGUUUGAUUGUUUGUUUCAUUUUUAUGAAUUGUAUUGUUUUAAUUUUUCGUUUUAUUUGAAAUUACCUAAGUUAGAUUCAUGCUAAUACUUUAACUGGACCUUGUAUCUUUGCUGGCUGGCUGGCUGUAGAGUUGGUUUCACAUACACAUGAAGUUUCUAAUUAACUAACUUUUAAGUUCAGUUUGGUUUAAACUUGUAUUUACCCAUGGUAAUUCAUUUAAAUUUCUAUUCAUGCUUAUAUAUUAAUUUCAAUGAACUUCUGUAUUUGUGUAUAGCUGGCAAUUUGGGCAAGCUACGUUUAACACACAAAUGUAACUGUCACAAAGGUUUUUUUUAUUAUCAGUUUGUUCUAAACAUUUGUUUGUUUACUAAGGAUGAAAUUGCUUUGUAAUUUAAGUUGUUGGUAGAUUCAUGCCAAUAAUGUAUUUGAACAAACUAGUAUUUUUGUUUAUUGCUGGCAGUUUAUACUAGAAGAGUUUUAACACAUACAAUGUUGUAGUGUUAUUGACUUGUGUGCUAUUGAUUAAUAAAAAGGCAAACAAUUUGAAAGUAAUUUUUCGUGUGAUUUAUUUAUUAAUAUAAUUUGGGCAAGAUUAGGCUGAGUUAUGGCUCAG